rnacentral:rRNA from 1 species
UACGGAGGGUGCAAGCGUUAUCCGGAUUUACUGGGCUUAAAGGGUGCGUAGGCGGGCUUUUAAGUCAGUGGUGAAAUCUCCGGGCUCAACCCGGAAACUGCCAUUGAUACUAUUAGUCUUGAAUUUUGUUGAGGUAGGCGGAAUAAGUCAUGUAGCGGUGAAAUGCAUAGAUAUGACUUAGAACACCAAUUGCGAAGGCAGCUUGCUAAACAAAUAUUGACGCUGAGGCACGAAAGCGUGGGGAGCAAACAGG